UGUUACCUUGUUACGACUUCACCCCAGUCGCUGAUCCUACCGUGGCCGCCUGCCCCCUCGAAAGGUUAGCGCAGCGUCGUCAGGUAGAACCAACUCCCAUGGUGUGACGGGCGGUGUGUACAAGGCCCGGGAACGUAUUCACCGCGUCAUGCUGUUACGCGAUUACUAGCGAUUCCGACUUCAUGCCGUCGAGUUGCAGACGACAAUCCGAACUGAGACAGUUUUUUGGGAUUAACCCAUUGUCACUGCCAUUGUAGCACGUGUGUAGCCCAACCCGUAAGGGCCAUGAGGACUUGACGUCAUCCACACCUUCCUCCCGCUUAUCACGGGCAGUUUCUUU
rnacentral:rRNA from 1 species